GAUGAACGCUGGCGGCGUGCCUAAUACAUGCAAGUCGAGCGAACGGACGAGAAGCUUGCUUCUCUGAGGUUAGCGGCGGACGGGUGAGUAACACGUGGAGAACCUACCUAUAAGACUGGGAUAACUUCGGGAAACCGUAGCUAAUACCGGAUAAUAUUUUGAACCGCAUGGUUCAAAAGUGAAAGACGGUCUUGCUGUCACUUAUAGAUGGAUCCGCGCUGCAUUAGCUAGUUGGUAAGGUAACGGCUUACCAAGGCAACGAUGCAUAGCCGACCUGAGAGGGAGAUCGGCCACACCGGCAGUGAGAAACGGUCCAGACUCCUACGGGAGGAAGCAGUAGGGAAUCUUCCGCAAUGGGCGAAAGCCUGAUGGAGCAACGCCGCGUGAGUGAUGAAGGUCUUCGGAUCGUAAAACUCUGUUAUUAGGGAAGAACAUAUGUGUAAGUAACUGUGCACAUCUUGACGGUACCUAAUCAGAAAGCCACGGCUAACUACGUG
rnacentral:rRNA from 1 species